rnacentral:misc_RNA from 1 species
GAUGAAGAACGUAGCGAAAUGCGAUAAGUAAUGUGAAUUGCAGAAUUCAGUGAAUCAUCGAAUCUUUGAACGCACAUUGCGCCCGCCAGUAUUCUGGCGGGCAUGCCUGUUCGAGCGUCAUUUCAACCAUCAAGCCCCAGGCUUGUGUUGGGGACCUGCGGCUGCCGCAGGCCCUGAAAACCAGUGGCGGGCUCGCUGUCACACCGGGCGUAGUAGAUUUUAUCUCGCUCAGGGCGUGCUGCGGGUUCCGGCCGUUAAAAAGCCUUUUUUACCCAAGGUUGACCUCGGAUCAGGUAGGAAUACCCGCUGAACUUAAGCAUAUCAAUAAGCGGGGGA